rnacentral:lncRNA from 1 species
CUUAAAAAUUAUGGGUCUUACAGUUGUUAUAGAAAAAAUAUAAAUAAAUCAUAUAAUUUAUUUAAAAGUUAAAAAUGACAAUGCAUCAAGGAUACAAAUCAACCAAAAUGCACAAAUCCUUUUUGUUAGACUAUACGUCAAUGCAUGAUUCUGGAAUAUUAACACUCUGUAAAGCAAAGAGUCCCACCAUUGGACAAUGUCCCACCGUUGGGCAAAUGCUUUUCAUUAUGUCAAUGCAUGAUUCUGGAAUAUCACCACCCCAUAGAGCAAAGAAUCCCACCAUUGGACAAUGUUCCACCAUUGGACAAAUGCUCUUCAGAGUUUCAUGUUCAGUACUUCACCAUUGCGUAUUUUUCUGAAUCACAUUGCCUUUUCUAGGAUCUGUUGUCACAUACUCACGACUAAGUCCAGACCACCAAUGCAUGCAUGAAUUUCAUCACCUUAGUUAGUAACAAAAUAGAUCACUCAACCAGAGUAUCCAAAACCAUUCAACCUUGUCCUAAACCAAAAUGGUCAAGCACAACCAUUAUAACAACGUAUCAUAUAACGUUUAUUUUUCACAAUUUGAACAUGUCAAACACAAUCAUUAUAACAACGUAUCAUAUAACAUUUAUUUUGAAGAUAACACACAAACAAAACCAAUACACAACAACACAGUACAUUUAUAUCACAUAUAAUUCAAGUAGGAAAUCAAAUGAAGUGAUGCCCUUACUGUUAUGAGUGUCGUUAUUAAGGUUUUUACGUAGCAGUCUUUUCUCCAAAAACGUUACACUUUCACAAUUUAAUUUACUACUCACUUAGUGUCAAAAUUCAUCUAUCCCUAAUUCAUAUUAAAGGUUUCGUGUUGGCUUGAUGUUUUAAGACACACAAUUUCUUUAUAUUUUUAAAAGAUUUAAAUUCUCUCAAAUUAGUAAGCACACAAACAAGUAACAAUAAAAAUAUAUUUUGAGUCUAUAUUUGGCACAAGUGUCUCAUUGCAAAUUCAAUAGAAUAAAGGAAAGAUGUAAUUCUUCAAAUAUUUCUUUUGGACCAAAAUUCUAAUAUAAGAAACAUCAAGGAUCCCUAAGACUUCCUUUGUUCACUUCCAAAAAUUUAAUAAUAAAAUUUAAUGACACUUCAACACAAAUUCCAUUUUAAUUAUUACAAAAUAAAUUAACAACUCUAUCAUAAAAUUAUUUUUAUUUUAUAAAUCAACACAACAUCCACACAUUUGUCUCAUAAAAAUCACAAAUUUAACAUCCUAAAAAAAAUAUUUAUAACAACUUUCAACCCAUUUAUUAUUUCUGGAAACAUUGUUAUUAUUUACAUCAAUAAAGUUUCUAAAAAUUUCUUCAACACUCAAACUAUCACAAUAUAAAAUUUUAACCAAAUAAAAAUGGAGUUUUUAGCCAAUAAGUUUCUAUAUCAAUAUCAUAAGAAAAUCAAGAUAAAUUCUAAGAAAAUAAAUUAUGUAUCACAGUUUUUCUUUAAAACAAAAAUGAUUUCUUAAACAAUAACAAUAAUAUCAAACAUCGUUUCAAAAUUAUUUAUCGUCAUAGAACCAUUUACUAAACAAUCAGUUUUUUUAUUAGUAACAACAAUAACAACUUUAUCAUAAAAAUCAAUAUUUUAAUUUAUAAACGUAAAUUUUGUAUCAAAAAUCAUCGUUUCAAAUUCAAAGAUUUUAUCAAAUUGAAUAAGAGAAAAAGUAAAAUUAUUAAUUAUAUUAAUAAGUCAAAUUCAAAGGUAAAGAUGACAUACUAAAAUUUGAACGAAGUCGGAGCAAGUUCCUUGCACAACCAGAGACCACCAGAACUGAUUUGCGUUCUUUCUUCUAUCGUGGCUGCAUUGGUGUUUCUUUCCUCUCUCUUGCACAUUAUUUGGGAUUAAGUAUUCAUUUUCUUUUUUUCUAACUACGGUAACUAUUAACUUGGGACUUUUACAUCAUUUUCUUCUUCUUCUUUAUCCCAAAUUGUAAGGAUGAGUACUAACGAAGUGUAAAUGGAAGGGAGUUGAUGUGUUU